GGGGAGCCCCAGCCUUUGAGGCCCAGGAAGGGUGAGCCAGGCUGAGGCCAGUGUCUCAACCCUUGUCUCUGAAAGGAGCAGUGGAUCCAGGUCAGGAAGCCCACCAGCUUUCCCCCGACCCUACACUGCCACCGAGGCGGGCCCUUCACAUUCCUAGGGUGGAGGGGAUGGAGGCUUCCAGCCGCCACACUUCUAGGAGCUGGGGAGACAGCAGCACAGAGGGCAUUUAUGGAAUACUUGCAUUUAUGGAACGCAUGCAGGCUCUGAGCUCAUUCUUUGUUGUGACUGCUGCCUUUAACCCUCACAAUAACUGGUGCUUUGGGAACUGUUAUUAUUUCCACUUUACCCAUGAGGACGACACGGCCCAGGGAGGAAAGAACUCGUCCAAGUUCCAUGCCAGGGAGAUGCGGAGCUGGGAUUUGAUCAAGGUUUGUUUGGCUCUGAAGCCCAGAUUCUUAACCUCUGCCCUACAAGUUGUGCCAAAUUACUCAUGUACUCAUGUGCUCAGGCACUUACUCACAUACCUGAUUAUGGAGGGCCCACUCUGAGCCCUGUGCUAGAUGCCAGAGAUACAGACAAUAAAACACACUCCCUGUCCUCCUCAAAGCUCUCGGUCUACCAGGUGGGAGGCACGGGGAGUGUAGCAUUGAGCAAGCGGACACGCUAUUGGAAUCGAUUGUGCCAAGUGCUGUGAUGGGCCUCUUUUAGGUCACAGACCCUCUGAGAAUCGGACAAGAGCCGAAGACGCACAAAAGAUGCACAGAGAAACAUCUUCCUAAGAUGUCAGGAGGCCACAGAUUCUCUCUAGCCUCUGCAUAGGAGUCAUGACCACAGUUUAACACUCUCCAUGCUUCAUGAAUUAUCAGAUGAAGAGGGGCCUUGGAUUCCCCUGGACUGAAGAGGAGGGUCACAUCCAAAGCCCAGACCUUCCUUUUUUUAAUCUGAAUAUUUUUGUGUGGGUCAUUUCAGCUUAGUUAGCAGUUUCGAAAGGGAUCUGUACGGGUUUAGUAUUUAAUUUCUUGAAAAAGUAAACUAUUUUUACUUUGUUUUGUUUUAAAAUGUUUAAGUUUUUAAAUUUAUGUAAUUCCAAACUUACAGAAAAGUAACAUGAACAAUACAAGGAACACCUAUAUUCCCUGUUUUGUUAAUUACAAAAUAAUAUUAACAAUGAUGAUGAUGAUUAAAAUAUAUGCCCAUUGUAACAUAUCAAAUGAUGCUGAAGUGUGUGAAGAAAAAGUUAAUAGUCUCCCAUAAUAAAAUACAGAAGUAUAAGCAAUACACUUUGGUAAAUCUUCCAACACACUGCCAUAUACCUUCUCUAAGUCUCUCCAAACAUAUGUACAUGUAAAUCAUAUAUAUUUAUACAAAUAUGUUCCUUUUGCCAUAAAAAAUUGUUUUUUUUUUUUUGAGACAGGGUCUUGCUCUGUGGCUCAGGCCAAGUACAGUGGCUCAAUCACAGCUCACUGCAGUCUCAAACUCCUGGGCUCAAGCAAUCCUCUUGCCUCAGCCUCCCAAGUAGCUGGGACAACAGGUAGGCACCACCACAUCUGGCUAAUUUUAAAAUUUUUUGUAGAGACGGGGUCUCACUUUGUUGCCCAGGCUGGUCUCAAACUCCUGGGCUCAAGCAAUCCUCCCAUCUUGGCCUCCCAAAGUUUUGGGAUUACAGGUGUGAGCCACUGGGACUGCCCCACAAUCUUAUUUUAUAUAUACAGAAUAGUCUCUAUGUAUAAGAUUUAUGUCUUCUGUUAAUUGAAGGCCUUAAUACAGUCAUCCAAGGCUGGUUUAAUGACCUCCAACCAUCAACAAGGAAGACGUUUGGAGAAACAUGAGGGAAAAGGAAAACACAGGCAGAGAAUCAAGGGGAUUAUUGGGUGACUUCCAAGGAGUGUGAGUGAACCUUGGGUCCACUCAAUGCACAGCACCUCACAAUAUGCUUCUUUCAUUUAACAUUCUCCCUGGACCUCUCUCUAGGUCGACUCUUGUGAUGCUACCUCAUUCUUGUUAAUCAUUUCAUACUUUUUCAUUACGUGGCUGGGUGACUUGAUUCACCCCUUCUUCCACUGAUAGCAUUCAGGUCAUUUCUGAUUUGUUGCAGUGAUUAUUGCAGACAAUGUCGGACUAAUCAUCCUGAGAUAUAUGUCUUUAAAGACUGGGCUGUGUAGCCCAUUGUACUAGUCUAUUCUCAUGCUGCUAAUAAAGACAUACCUGAGACUGGGUAAUUUAUAAGGGGAAGAGGUUUGAUUGACUCACAGUUCAGCAUGGCUGGGAGGCCUCAGGAAACUUACAAUCAUGGCAGAAAGGGGAGCAAUCAUGUCCUUCUUCACAUGGCAGCAGCAAGGAGACGUGCCAAACAAAACGGGGAAAAGCCCCUUAUAAAAUCAUCAGAUCUCAUGAGAACUCACUCACUAUCACAGGAAGAGCAUGAAGGCAACUGCCCCCGUGAUUAAAUUACCCCCCACCGGCUCCCUCCAAUGACACAUGGGGAUUAUGAGAGCUACAACUCAAUAUGAGAUUUGGGUGGGGACACAGCCAAACCAUAUCACCCGUUUAGUAUCUUUGUGCAAAUUAGCAAAAAAUACCCCUCCCAUAGACACCAGCCUGUAACAAAGUACGCAGCUUGGCAAGUGGCGUGUAGGCCGGAUUCCAGCCCUACAUGCCCCAUCGGUGUGGUGUCCUUCCUUGUGCAGUGAACAACCUGCACAUCCUUAUAUGGUAGUCUCAUCUUCCACACUCUGUUUCUUUCUCCCCCUGUAAGACGGCUCCCUAAACGUUAGACUGCCAGGACGAAGGGUCUGUGAGCAUUUUUUU
rnacentral:lncRNA from 10 species